GACGAACGCUGGCGGCGUGCCUAACACAUGCAAGUCGAACGGGGUUGAGGUCUUCGGACCUUAACUUAGUGGCGAACGGGUGAGUAACGCGUGAGAAACCUGCCUUUCAGUGGGGGACAACAGUUGGAAACGACUGCUAAUACCGCAUAAUGUUAUUUGGGGGCAUCCCUGAAUAACCAAAGCUUUAUGUGCUGAAAGAUGGUCUCGCGUCUGAUUAGCUAGAUGGCGGGGUAACGGCCCACCAUGGCGACGAUGUCUAGGGGUUCUGAGAGGAAGGUCCCCCACACUGGAACUGAGACACGGUCCAGACUCCUACGGGAGGCAGCAGUGAGGAAUAUUGGUCAAUGGUCUGACGACUGAACCAGCCAUGCCGCGUGAAGGUGACGGCCCUAUGGGUCUUAAACUUCUUUUGCAAGGGAGCAAUAAGCCUCACGUGUGGGGCGAUGAGAGUACCUUGCGAAUAAGCAUCGGCUAACUCCGUGCCAGCAGCCGCGGU
rnacentral:rRNA from 1 species